UAGGGCGCAUCUAAGGCCUAAGAUGGCGGCGUUUGCGCCGGAGGCAAGUACUCCAGGCGAACCAGGGGUGGAAACGCGGCCAAAGCACAAAUCUACGAAGGGAAGUCCAGAGACUGGCCCAUUUUUGUGUUGUGG
rfam:Equus caballus cont2.34175, whole genome shotgun sequence.